UCUGAUAUAUCUGCAAAGACGAACCGUGACAUUGUCUUUUUUUCUAUUGGACAUGAUAUUUUGUUGGAUUGGAUAGCAAGGCCAGGGACAGAUUCAUUAAGGGAUUUGUCACACUCUACACCAGGGACGGAUUCAUUAAGUGAUUUGCCACACUCUACACCUGCUGUGAAGUGUGAAGAGGAAGAUAGUGGUGAAGCGAUUGGUAAAAAGAUGAUAAUCUCUCUAGUGAGGAACUUGGAAUAUUAUGAUGCUGCUAUACUUAAGAUUCCGACAUUUGUUCAUGUCACAACUACAGUGCGACGAUAGAUUCUGUGAAGAUGUCAGUAUGGUCGUGUUGAACUCCUAUUUUGACAUACAACACUCUUUUGAUUUAUACAUUAGAAUUCUUUCUGAAGGGACAAGGACGACCACUACCAAUAGAAAUCAACAACCAUUCUUCUGUCAAACUCGUCACUACAAAGGAUUGAUUUCACCAAAUGUAUUUUUGCUGCCCAACGUUGAAAUGAUGAGGUUUGUUACAUUGGUGCUUUCAUCCAUCGGUCUCCAACAAUGGCGAUGUUUCUACCUUGAUUCAGCGGCGACGGCAUCCCAGAGAGCUGGAUUUUCAGGCCCAGUUGUACUUCACAAAUCUUGGCUUUGACGAGGAUGAUUAUUUUCCCCUUCCUUCAUUCUACCUUUAUGGUGAAGCUUAUUUCACAAUAAGCUAAUUUUUGAUUGGAAGCAUUUCAAGGGUAAAUUUGCUCAGUGGUUUCAAUAACAAACCAACAACAAUGUAGUGGGGCGUCUAGCUAAUUCAUCACAAGUUCAUUUUUGACUGCGUUAAUUAUGUCCCUAUAGUUUCACAAUCAGCUGUGGUGUCUCCCAGUCAUUUUCCAGCAUCAUCUGCCCUUGAUUUUGCUUAUGAAACUGGUAACUCAAAGGCGGACCUUGUGCUUUAUAAAUUGCCAGAGACGUAUUAACAUGUGGAUUCCUAGGCAUUGAUUACUGGAAGUAAUACUGAGACUGAAGCUCUUAAAGACAGGUACUCACCUCAUACAGGGAAUGCAAAGUCAGUAGAGGGAGCAAAUUUGGUAUCGGGACCUUUUUUCAAUGCUGAAAACAAGGCGUUCGAUGAAAUGUCACACACAACAGUGAGCUUUGAAAUUGUCCACGAGGGAGAAACUUUGCAACUACAGUGCGACGAUAGCUUCUGUGUAGAUGUCAGCUUGAAUACAAAGGUGCCUACUGCGAUGUUAGAUGAUAUGAAAGAAUCUAAUACUGAGGAGGAGGACAACCCACGAGAUAAUCUAGCUUUGUUUGACAAAAGUCCUAAAUGGGAUACAUCGGGUUUUUCUGGUUCCUUUUUCUAGCCAAGGUACUGUAAUGUUGAAUGUGAGUAUGCAAAUUGCUGUAAUCGAAUAUCCAUUCAUGGUGUCUAAUGGGAUCACACUAUUCCUUGUUUGCAUAAUUCUCUUGAAGAAAUGUGUGGGGGUAAACAAACUA